rnacentral:lncRNA from 1 species
ACUCACAUGAAUUCAAAUAGACUAGUGUUGAGUGUGAUUCUGGUGUUUAAAGAAACUUUUUUUUUUUUUUAUACUAGAUGGCCCCUAAAGCCAAGCAGAUGACUUCAUCUGGUGUUCAACCAAAAGAAAAUGACCUAUUCCAAGACUAGAGGAAAAAACUGGCACUGUUGAACUUUUUAAGAAGCAGCAUAACUGCAGAUUUUACUUUGUGAACAAUAUAAGGCAUUUUCAAGAGUAAUGUUGACUAUAUGGAAUAUUUUCUUAAACCAUGACUUUCAUACUUAUCCACCACAGAAGCUGCAACUCCACGGAAGUCUGGCAACAGUGCAGGAAGAAUUGGCAAGAACUGGACAAUGUACAGACCAGUAAGGAGAAGACUUCAGACAUAUAUACCACUAACAGCAUAUUUCUUUCAUGA